GCGCUCGUAGCUCAGUUGGAUAGAGCGGUGGUUUCCGACCACGUCUGUCGGGGGUUCGAAUCCCUCCGAGCGCG
rnacentral:tRNA from 1 species